AUUGAACGCUGGCGGCAGGCUUAACACAUGCAAGUCGAGCGGGGAAGGGUAGCUUGCUACCUGACCUAGCGGCGGACGGGUGAGUAAUGCUUAGGAAUCUGCCUAUUAGUGGGGGACAACAUUCCGAAAGGAAUGCUAAUACCGCAUACGCCCUACGGGGGAAAGCAGGGGAUCUUCGGACCUUGCGCUAAUAGAUGAGCCUAAGUCAGAUUAGCUAGUUGGUGGGGUAAAGGCCUACCAAGGCGACGAUCUGUAGCGGGUCUGAGAGGAUGAUCGGCCACACUGGGAGUGAGAAACGGCCCAGACUCCUACGGGAGGCAGCAGUGGGGAAUAUUGGACCAUGGGCGAAAGCCUGAUCCAGCCAUGCCGCGUGUGUGAAGAAGGCCUUUUGGUUGUAAAGCACUUUAAGCGAGGAGGAGGCUACCGAGAUUAAUACUCUUGGAUAGUGGACGUUACUCGCAGAAUAAGCACCGGCUAACUCUGUGCCAGCAGCCGCAGUAAUAC
rnacentral:rRNA from 1 species